rnacentral:rRNA from 1 species
CCUACGGGAGGCAGCAGUGAGGAAUAUUGGUCAAUGGGGGCAACCCUGAACCAGCCAAGUAGCGUGCAGGAUGACGGCCCUCUGGGUUGUAAACUUCUUUUAUGCGGGGAUAAACUGAGGCACGUGUGGCUUUUUGCAUGUACCUCAUGAAUAAGGACCGGCUAAUUCCGUGCCAGCAGCCGCGGUAAUACGGAGGGUCCGGGCGUUAUCCGGAUUUAUUGGGUUUAAAGGGAGCGUAGUCGGGUUGUUAAGUCAGUUGUGAAAGGCUGCGGCUCAACCGUAGAACUGCAGUUGAAACUGGCAGGCUUGAGUACAGUGGAGGUAGGCGGAAUUCGUGGUGUAGCGGUGAAAUGCGUAGAGAUCACGAAGAACACCGAUUGCGAAGGCAGCCUACUGAACUGUCACUGACGCUGAGGCUCGAAAGUGUGGGUAUCAAACAGGAUUAGAUACCCGAGUAGUC